GUUCAUGCAGUGGGAUUUAUGUCAUACAUUGAAAUUUCUCUUUCUCUUUCUCUUCUUGCAUUAAAGCUUGUUUCUAACUACUAGUCAGAAUCCAGAAUCCUUUUUUUGUGAGUCGGCCUCCUGGAACAGUCACUGGAAAUGACACCUGCGACGCAGCCGUGAUGGCUAUAAAAUGACAAAUUCGAAGAGGGGAAGGAGAAAAAGCGAGAAUGAGAGAAAAAGCAGGGGAAAAAAGUGUGUGACGGAGAGAGCAGGGUUUUCUCAGCGCUGGUAGGAGCAGAUGCAUUGCAAACGGAGAAGAGGAGGAGGCUGACUCGAUGAGACGAGCGAGAGAGAGACAAAAGACAGAGAAAGAGGGGGCCUCAUCAUAAAGAAUGUAAUACUGCCACUGUUGAACAUCAGCAGGGAGCUACAGGCAGAAGCCCUUCAGAGUCUUGAUCUGUGAAAGGCGAGAUGGGCAUAGAUCUCGGGUGGGAGAUGUUGAAAAAC
ensembl:lncRNA